AUGUACCAAUUAAACGGGAAACAAAAAGCCGAUUUUGUGCCUGUCUCUGGUUUCCUGCCUUGGCUCUGGGGGCCACGUCCAGCCCCGAGGAGGCUGCCCGGGCCGAGCCGCCGCCCUCGUCCGUCCCUGCAGUGGGGAAACGUUGAGCCACCGGCUCUGAGGAGGAAGCCAGGCGGGAGCCGCGGCGCGAUGCUGCCUGGGCGAGCAGACCCCCGCGCAGAGCCCUGGGCAGCAGCCAGGAGGCCCUUUGCCCGGCCAGGCCAAGGCUUUCUCCCAGCCCUGGGAAGGUGCGCAGGCAGGCCCCGCCCCCAAGCAAGGAGAAGCCUCUGCAGAGAGACCCGGAGGGUGCUUCCGGCGUUUGGGGUUCCCCUCUGGGGAGUUACCUGGGAGGCAGGGGCGGGGGAGGGAAGGCGGCCCAGCAUCCUAUCCUCACAAGACCAGUGGGCUCAUUUGUGUGGACACGGGCCACAGGGUGGAGACGCCACCCACUCACCCUCCCUGCUCCGGGCUAGUCCUGGGCUAGCCUCCUUCCUAACAUUUCACGCAUCGCGCCGCCUCUGGGAAGCCUUCCUGACUUGCCCCCAAAGCACGACGAUGAGGACGGAUGACGACGACGACAACGAUGAGGAGGAGGAGGAGGACGAUGAUGAGGACAAGGAGGAGGAUGAUGAUGAUGAGCACGAUGAUGAUGAUGACAACGAUGAGGAGGAGGAGGAGGACGAUGAUGAGGACAAGGAGGAGGAUGAUGAUGAUGAGCACGAUGAUGAUGAUGACAACGAUGACGACAACACGACGAUGAGGAGGAGGACAACAACAAUGAGGAAGAGGAGGACGACGAUGAUGAGGACGAUGACGAUGAUGAGGAAGACGAUGAUGAGGACGAUGACGAUGAUGAGGAAGACAAUGAUGAGGAAGAUGAUGAUGAUGAGGAGGAGGACGAUGUUGAUGAUGACAACGACGAUGAUGAUGAUGAUAACGACGAUGACGAUGAUGAGGACGAUGAUGAUGAUGACAACGACGAUGAUGAGGAGGACGAUGACGACGAAAACGACAAGGACAACAACGAUGAUGAUGGUGAUGACGAUGAUGAUAACAGCCGCCACCUGGUAUUUCUGCAGCCCUUUAGGCCGAGUGAACAAAGGGAAGGCGGAGGCGGAGAGGACCUAA
rnacentral:lncRNA from 1 species